rnacentral:rRNA from 1 species
GAUAAACGCUGGCAGCGUACUUUAUGCAUGCAAGUCGAACGGUCUUAGUUUACUAAGAUAGUGGCGAACGGGUGAGUAACACAUAAGUAACCUAUCCUUAAGUAUGGAAUAACUCUGAGAAAUUAGAGCUAAUACCGUAGUGGUGAUGGAGGUAAUGCUCCAUCAUUAAAGCCUUAGGGCGCUUAGGGAGGGGCUUGUGUCCGAUUAGCUAGUUGGUAGGGUAAUGGUUUACCAAGGCGAUGAUCGGUAGCUGGUUUGAGAGGACGACCAGCCACACUGGGACUGAGAUACGGCCCAGACUCCUACGGGAGGCAGCAGCAAGGAAUAUUGUGCAAUGGGCGAAAGCCUGACACAGUGACGCUGCGUGGGGGAUGAAGGCUUUCGGGUUGUAAACCCCUCUUCUCAGGGAAGAAUAAUGACGGUACCUGAGGAAUAAGUCACGGCUAACUACGUGCCAGCAGCCGCGGUAAUACGUAGGUGGCAAGCGUUAUCCGGAUUUAUUGGGCGUAAAGAGGGUGCAGGCUGCCUUUCAAGUCGGAUGUGAAAUCUCCCGGCUUAACUGGGGGGGGAUAUUCGAUACUGUUAGGCUAGAGGGCAGCAGAGGGAGGUGGAAUUCCCGGUGGAGUGGUGAAAUACGUAGAUAUCGGGAGGAACACCAGAGGCGUAGGCGACCUCCUAGGCUGUUACUGACGCUGAGGCCCGAAAGCGUGGGGAGCGAACAGGAUUAGAUACCCUGGUAGUCCACGCCAUAAACUAUGGACACUAGGUAUGGGGAGUACCGACCCUCUCUGUGCCGGAGCUAACGCGUUAAGUGUCCCGCCUGGGAACACGACCGCAAGGUU